rnacentral:pre_miRNA from 1 species
CACAAAACGGACUCAUUCCGAACGGGGGAUGCUGUGCGCUCUAUGUGGCCGAUUGCAAAUCCAUAAGCGUAUAGCUUUUCCCAUUUGGCGUGUGUCGCUUGACAA